UCCAAAACUGCAAUAUAUGGGUGUUGAAAGAACAAAGCUGGCACAUUUUGUCUCAAAAAAUGACAAGAUCUUCUUAAAUCACAUAUUUGAGUGUGAGAAAGACAUCAAAAUCUCUAUCUGGGAUAACAACAUCUCCAAUGGUACGGUAAGCUUGCAAAAAGCCAUAGAAAUCUUGAAUGAAUAAGAUGUACAAAACACGCUCAUCGAUUCUUUUACAUUCAUGUUGGAAAGAGAGCAAGGAGAUGAAAGUAAAAUACUAUUUUUCAAAUCCAUAUUGUGGAGCCUACUAAAGGACAAGAAAAAUGAGGUCAGAAAGAUGUUCUUUGAUGACAAGCUGGUAGAACUCAUUCAAAAAGAGCAUGCCUAU